GGUGAGGUGCGAGAGUGGUUGAAUCGGGCGGUCUCGAAAACCGUUGAGGUCUUGCGGCCUCCGUGGGUUCGAAUCCCACCCUCACCGCCA
rnacentral:tRNA from 2 species